rnacentral:SRP_RNA from 1 species
CCGGGAGUCGGUCGGACGUUCGCGUCCGCUCACCGGGUCAGGUCCGGAAGGAAGCAGCCCAGGUGGAUGGCAGCGGGUCGGCCGGCUCCUUUUUCA